ensembl:snRNA U4 U4 spliceosomal RNA
GCUUUUGCACUGUGGCAGUAUUGCAGCCAAUGAGGUUUACCCAAGGCACAAUUAUUGCUAAUUGAAAACUUUUCCUAAAAUUUUUCAGUCCACUUUCUUUUCUUCAGAGAUUUGUUGACACCAAAUAUUACAUUAG